CAUCAAACCCACUGAGUGAGCUCCCUUGUUGUUGCAUGGGAUGGCAAUGUCCACACAGCACAGAGGAGAAUCUGUGUUACACAGAGCAAUGAUGUACUGUUCCAUCUGGAAGUCAAGUUUGGUGCCACCUAAGUGGGUUCCUGCUGCAAGGAACUGAAGGACAUCCUCCUCCUUCAUUUGCAGGACAUCAGGGGCUCCAGACAUUGCGAAAGUUUCCCUUUAAGUUACGACGGGAAUCCAGAACAACGCUGUAUGGACACCUCUGUAGGUAGUGCGGAAAAGCGUAAUUUUAUUUAUAUAAAGUGCAAAAAACCAUGCAAAACCAAGUCAUACAUUGUUUAUGGAUACAUAUAUGUAUUAUACAAAUUUAUAUAAAAUCAAAGGAAGAAUUAGUGAAAGAUAAUGGCCACCUCCAGGGGACAGGGAAGAGUGUACACACAUAAAUAAAAUGGAUACAUGGGUA